rnacentral:rRNA from 1 species
GAGUUUGAUCCUGGCUCAGGAUGAACGCUGGCGGCGUGCCUAACACAUGCAAGUCGAACGAGAACCCAUUCUUCGGAUUGGGGGACAGUGGCGAACGGGUGAGUAACACGUUGGUGACCUGCCCCGAAGCGGGGGACAACCACGGGAAACUGGGGCUAAUACCCUAUGUGCUCCAAAGGGUUAGAGACCUUUGGAGUAAAGUUCCGGCGCUUCGGGAGGGGCCUGCGGCCCAUCAGCUAGUUGGUAGGGUAACGGCCUACCAAGGCUACAACGGGUAGGGGGCCUGAGAGGGUGACCCCCCACACUGGCACUGACACACGGGCCAGACUCCUACGGGAGGCAGCAGUGAGGAAUAUUGCGCAAUGGGCGAAAGCCUGACGCAGCAACGCCGCGUGGGUGAUGAAGGCCUUCGGGUCGUAAAACCCUUUUAAGAGAGAAGAGCAAGGACGGUAUCUCUGGAAUAAGUCUCGGCUAACUACGUGCCAGCAGCCGCGGUAAGACGUAGGAGGCGAGCGCUAUCCGGAUUUACUGGGCGUAAAGGGCACGUAGGCGGCGCUGUAAGUUGGGCGUGAAAGCUCCCGGCUCAACUGGGAGAGGCCGUUCAAUACCGCCAGGCUCGAGGGCAGUAGAGGGAAGCGGAAUUCCCGGUGUAGCGGUGGAAUGCGCAGAUAUCGGGAGGAACACCAGUGGCGAAGGCGGCUUCCUGGCCCGUUCCUGACACUCAGGCGCGAAAGCGUGGGUAGCGAACGGGAUUAGAUACCCCGGUAGUCCACGCUGUAAACGAUGGAUGCUAGGUGUGGGUGGGUGUUUACCCCCUCAGUGCUGUAGCUAACGCGAUAAGCAUCCCGCCUGGGGACUACGGCCGCAAGGCUAAAACUCAAAGGAAUUGACGGGGGCCCGCACAAGCAGCGGAGCGUGUGGUUUAAUUCGAUGCUACGCGAAGAACCUUACCUGGGCUUGACAUGUACGUAGUAGUGAAGGGAAACUGGAACGACCCCUCGGGGAGCGUACACAGGUGCUGCAUGGCUGUCGUCAGCUCGUGUCGUGAGAUGUUGGGUUAAGUCCCGCAACGAGCGCAACCCUCGUCGUUAGUUAUACGUGUCUAACGAGACUGCCGGUAUCAAGCUGGAGGAAGGUGGGGAUGACGUCAAGUCAGCAUGGCCUUUAUGUCCAGGGCUACACACACGCUACAAUGGGCGGUACAAUAGGUCGCAAAACCGCGAGGUGGAGCCAAUCCUCAAAGCCGGUCUCAGUUCGGAUUGUAGGCUGCAACUCGCCUGCAUGAAGCUGGAGUUGCUAGUAACCGCGCGUCAGCCAUAGUGCGGUGAAUACGUUCCCGGGCCUUGUACACACCGCCCGUCACGUCAUGGGAGCUGGUAACACCCGAAGCCGGUGCGCCAACCGCAAGGAGGCAGCUGUCGAAGGUGGGACUGGUGACUGGGACGAAGUCGUAACAAGGUAACC